rnacentral:lncRNA from 1 species
GGUUAAGAUGGCGUCCGCGGUGGCCAUCGCGGCCCAGGCCGGGAAGCUUCUGCGAGAGCGAUCGCUGCGGCCCCGACUCUUGGCGGUCAGGUCCCAGGCAGGUCACUUAACCCCCAGGAGAUGGCUGAACCUGCAGGAAUACCAGAGCAAGAAGCUCAUGUCAGAGCACGGAGUGAGAGUGCAGAGGUUCUUUGUCGCCAGCACUGCUAAGGAGGCUCAGGAAGCAGCCAAGCGACUGAAUGCAAAGGAAAUUGUUUUAAAAGCCCAGAUCUUAGCUGGAGGAAGAGGAAAAGGUGUCUUCGAUAGCGGUUUGAAAGGAGGAGCAGAUUGACAUCUUUGAAGGGAUAAAGGAUAGCCAGGCCCAGCGCAUGGCGGAAAAUCUGGGCUUCCUCGGGUCUUUGAAAAACCAGGCUGCAGAUCAGAUUAAAAAGCUGUACCAUCUCUUCCUGAAGAUUGACGCCACUCAGGUAGAAGUGAACCCCUUCGGUGAAACUCCAGAAGGCCAAGUUGUCUGUUUUGAUGCCAAGAUAAACUUUGAUGACAAUGCUGAAUUCCGACAAAAGGACAUAUUUGCUAUGGACGACAAGUCAGAGAAUGAACCCAUUGAAAAUGAAGCUGCCAGAUAUGAUCUCAAAUAUAUAGGUCUAGACGGGAACAUC